rnacentral:rRNA from 1 species
UCAGACGAUGCGUCAUGCAUAUCAAUAAGCGGAGGAAAAGAAACUAACAAGGAUUCCCUUAGUAACGGCGAGUGAAGCGGGAAGAGCUCAAAUUUGAAAUCUUCAAGGUUUUACCUUGACGAAUUGUAGUUUAAAGAAGUGUUUUCUGCUGAAGUUUUGGUAAAAGUUCUUUGGAAUAGGACAUCAUAGAGGGUGAGAAUCCCGUAUUUGACCAUUAUUUUCAGCUUUGUGAUACACUUUCAAAGAGUCGGAUUGUUUGGGAAUGCAGUCCAAAAUGGGUGGUAAAUUUCAUCUAGAGCUAAAUAUUGGCGAGAGACCGAUAGCGAACAAGUACCGUGAGGGAAAGAUGAAAAGAACUUUGAAAAGAGAGUUAAACAGUACGUGAAAUUGUCAAAAGGGAAGCGUUUGACACCAGUGUUGUUUUCUCGAAAAUCAAUUAAAAAUGGCUCGAUUUUGUAUUGCUUGAGACCUUAAAAGCUCACUGUACGUUUUUCGUGUCUUUUUUGAUGCACUUUUCGUUUAACAAGUUAACAUCAGUUUCUUUUGUUGUAAAAGGGUCAUUGGAAGGUGGCUUUCUUUUCGGAGAAAGUGUUUAUAGCCUUUGGCCUCUGCAAUCGGAGAGACUGAGGUCUGCAGCGUAGACUCUUCGGGGUUAGAUACAUUUGUGCUAAGUUAUAGCUUUUUAUAGACAACUUGUUGACUAUAAUUAGUCUUGUAGCUUACUCGCUUAUGCUAUUUUACCUACGCUUAGGAUGUUGACGAUCAGCUGAGCGCG